ACGAACGCUGGCGGCGUGCUUAACACAUGCAAGUCGAACGAUGAUGCCAGCUUGCUGGUGGAUUAGUGGCGAACGGGUGAGUAACACGUGAGCAACCUGCCCCUGACUUCGGGAUAACCGCGGGAAACCGUGGCUAAUACCGGAUAUGACGCGCUAUCGCAUGGUGGUGUGUGGAAAGAUUUAUCGGUUGGGGAUGGGCUCGCGGCCUAUCAGCUUGUUGGUGGGGUGAUGGCCUACCAAGGCGACGACGGGUAGCCGGCCUGAGAGGGUGACCGGCCACACUGGGACUGAGACACGGCCCAGACUCCUACGGGAGGCAGCAGUGGGGAAUAUUGCACAAUGGGCGCAAGCCUGAUGCAGCGACGCCGCGUGAGGGAUGACGGCCUUCGGGUUGUAAACCUCUUUCAGUAGGGGAGAAGGCCUUCCGGUUGACGGUACCUGCAGAAGAAGCGCCGGCUAACUACGUG
rnacentral:rRNA from 1 species